rnacentral:rRNA from 1 species
AGCUCUCAUGGCGUAUAUCGUCAUUGCUGCGGUUAAAAAGCUCGUAGUUGGAUUUGUGCCAAUGGACGCGGUACUUCUUGUAAGUAACUGUACUCCUUGGUUUGUGUCGGUUUUCCGGCGUGGUUCUGCUGCGUCGGUGGCUGGCGUGAUUACCUUGAAUAAAUCAAAGUGCUCAAGACAGGCGUUUCGCUUGUAUGUUUCUGCAUGGAAUAAUGGAAUAGGACUUCGGUUCAUUCUGUUGGUCUUAGGAUCGAAGUAAUGAUUAAGAGGAACUGACGGGGGCAUCCGUAUCGCUGCGUGAGAGGUGAAAUUCUUGGACCGCAGCGGGACGUCCAACAGCGAAAGCAUUUGCCAAGAAUGUUUUCA